UUUUUCAUUUCGCCCCACUUCAAAACCUUUCCUUCUCCCUUUUUGCCCUAGCCGAGCCAAACCUCAAACUUAUUUCCCUCUCAUCGUCCAAAACCUAGUUAACAUGUAUCAACAAAUCAAAGAAAUUCCCAUUGGAAUUUUUAUCAUUGCUGCCUUUGGAAAAUAGGCCCUCCGAUUGCCGGCCCAAAAAUCUGUCAGAGUUGUAGUAAACCCUAGUCGAUUGAGAGCAACGGUAACAUCUGCUACUGCACAUCAUUUACGGUAAUCUCUUUAUUUCUUUCUUGUUCCAAUUUUUAGAUGUUUGUGAAGCGUGUUUAGAAGAAGUAAGAAGAUCCGAUAAUAUGUGGGUAUGCAAUUGCAUUUCUUUGAUGUAUUGGGAUUUGGGAGAAAUAUCUAUAUUCCAUUGUAGGUUAUUUACCCAGUGAUAUUUCGAGAGAUCAAAACGAGGAGAACAAAGCAACAAUUUAGUACACUGAGAUUUGAGAGAACAGAAGGUUUGUUUAUUUGUACAAUAUAUAUGUUUUAUUUUUUUUAUUUUUUUACUUAGGUUGUUUUAUGUAUCAAUUAUGUGCAGAAAAGUACAGGUCUAAUUGCCUCCAUAUGGUUUAAGCCACUCUAUAUCUGCAACUUAGUUUACUAUUAAGCAAUGGAUUUUUCGUUUUUUUACUGAAAGUUCAUAAUCUUGCAGUUUCGUCGACUCACCCUUUCUUGCAAAUUAGUCUCUCUGUUUCAUGUGGUAUGUUCUUAAAUAGCCUUUAUUAAUUGAUUUAAUUCAACAUUGAAACUAUUGUCAACUAUUCAAAGUUGCUGAGAAUUGUUCGUCUUGAUGGCAGAUAUUUUCGUUUUCAACCACAGAAUCAGCAAGACACAAAUUACACCAAUUUAGAGAAGGAAGUAAAUUGAUGAUUGGGAGUUUAUCACUCUGUAGAAUAAGGUAGUAUCAUUUAUCAAGUAGAUAAAUGCCUUUCCCAGCCACACAAUAGAAAAUAAAUAAAAUUGUAAGUUGUUUUUACUAUUAACAUGCUACUAAUAUAGUAUUAUUAUAGAUAUCAUCUACUUUUCUUCAUUUCAUUUUUCAUAAGAAUGUCACAGGGCAUCAUAUGCUUGAAAUUGAUUGGUGAUGUGGUUUGCUUCUGGACAUGUGCAUAUGCUGGAAAUGUUUACUAUAUAGAGACAACAUGCUCCUUAUUGAAGGUUUACAGUUUUUAUAAAAUUAUCUACCUUAUUUUGGUCAUAUCAAAUUUUAGUUUUGCUUAUUGGUUCUUCUAUGUUUGCAGUCAAGACAAGUGGCCAAAGAUCCAGCCAUAUGUGAAAAUCAAACACGAGACAUUGAUUUUACUCUAACAGAUUGCUCGAUUUUCUCAAUUAUAAGCUCUAUUAAUCUUUUUUUCUUCAUAUUAUCUAUUUCUCUAAUAUCUAGCUGAUAUCUCGUGAAUUUUCUUCUAUUUUGCUAGAUGGCAGCCAUUCAGUAGCAUGAUCUUUAAACAUUAAUGGGAGGAAAGUCUGAAUAAAGAUUCAAGUUAGGUUUGCUCUUCUCACUUCUCAAUUUUGUUUUAUCUUUUCUCUAACAUUUGUUUCUCCUUCUCCUGGUAAUAUAAAUUUUCUACAGCAAAUCCUACAUUUGAAGGUAAAUAUUCUACCUAACUAGUCAUUAGUAUCUAAGUUGUCUUCUUAGGUUAAGUCGUUAUUUGACUAAUUACAUUUAUGUUGUCUUUCUAUUAUGAUAUAGCAAGCUAGACUUUUUAGGAUGGGAUUCAAGUGAAAGCAUGAAGAUCAAGCCCAAGGAUCUCAUGAGAGAUCAUUACAUUCGAAAGUAUAUAUGAAUGACUAUGUUGCAGGCUUUUGAAAACUACUAUUAGCAUCUGUAAUUCAAGUUUAUAAUAUUGUCCUGAUUUUGUAUGUAUGAUACUUUUAUUGGUAUAUAAUAUAUUAAUUGGUAUUAACUUAUGG
rnacentral:lncRNA from 1 species